AUGAUUCCCCUAGUAACGGCGAGUGAAGAGGGAUAAGCUCAAAUUUUAAAUCUGAUCGGUUUUACUUAUCAGAAUUGUAAUUUGAAGAAACGUUUUCUGUGUCUUGAAUUAGCCUAAAUCUUUUGGAACAAGGUAUCAUGGAGGGUGACAAUCCCGUUCAUGGUUAAUUUUAAGGCGCGUUACGAUACGUUUUCAAAGAGUCGAGUUGUUUGGGAUUGCAGCUCAAAAUGGGAGGUAAAUUUCUCCUAAAGCUAAAUAUUGGCGAGAGACCGAUAGCGAACAAGUACCGUGAGGGAAAGAUGAAAAGAACUUUGAAAAGAGAGUUAAACAGUACGUGAAAUUGUUGAAAGGGAAACGAUUGAAGUCAGUCGUACUAACGGGAAAUCAACCUUUUUGAGUCGUAAAUUUUGGAUUUUGAAGAGUUUAAACCUUCGGGUUCAAAUAUUUGCACUUUUUAGGCGUAAUUUCUCGUUCGGUAGGUUAACAUCGAUUUUGAACAUUAUAAAAUGAUCGGAGGAAUGUUGCUUCGAUCUUGUAUUGAAGUGUUAUAGCCUUUGGUAGAUGUAAUGAUCGAGAUCGAGGAUUGCAACGAAUACCCUUUUGGGCUAUCCGUCUGAUCUCUGAUACGUUGCCUCGGUAACGAAAGCGUGCUUACGGUAUUGAGGUAUUACGGUCAAAAGGUUAGAACGUGAUUACAUUCGUUAAGGAUGUUGACGUAAUGGCUUUAAACGACCCGUCUUGAAACACGGACCAAGGAGUCUACAG
rnacentral:rRNA from 1 species